GGACCCGCACAAGUAGUGGAGCAUGUGGUUUAAUUCGAAGAUACGCGCAGAACCUUACCAACACUUGACAUGUUCGUCGCGACUCUAAGAGAUUAGAGUUUUCGGUUCGGCCGGACGAAACACAGGUGCUGCAUGGCUGUCGUCAGCUCGUGUCGUGAGAUGUUGGGUUAAGUCCCGCAACGAGCGCAACCCUCACUUUUAGUUGCCAUCAUUUAGUUGGGCACUCUGAAAGAACUGCCAGUGAUAAGCUGGAGGAAGGUGGGGAUGACGUCAAGUCCUCAUGGCCCUUACGUGUUGGGCUACACACGUGCUACAAUGGUAUUUACAAUAGGAAGCAAGAUGGCGACAUCAAGCAAAUCCUAAAAAGAUGCCUCAGUUCGGAUUGUACUCUGCAACUCGAGUACAUGAAGCUGGAAUUGCUAGUAAUCGC
rnacentral:rRNA from 1 species